UUCGAGCGGUAGAGAGAAGCUUGCUUCUCUUGAGAGCGGCGGACGGGUGAGUAAUGCCUAGGAAUCUGCCUGGUAGUGGGGGAUAACGUUCGGAAACGGACGCUAAUACCGCAUACGUCCUACGGGAGAAAGCAGGGGACCUUCGGGCCUUGCGCUAUCAGAUGAGCCUAGGUCGGAUUAGCUUGUUGGUGGGGUAAUGGCCUACCAAGGCGACGAUCUGUAGCUGGUCUGAGAGGACGAUCAGCCACACUGGGACUGAGACACGGCCCAGACUCCUACGGGAGGCAGCAGUGGGGAAUAUUGCACAAUGGGCGAAAGCCUGAUGCAGCAAUGCCGCGUGUGUGAAGAAGGCCUGCGGGUUGUAAAGCACUUUCAGUAGGGAGGAAAAGCAACAGGUUAAUACCCUGAUGACUUGACGUUACCUACAGAAGAAGCACCGGCUAACUCUGUGCCAGCAGCCGCGGUAAU
rnacentral:rRNA from 1 species